rnacentral:rRNA from 1 species
AGAGUUUGAUCAUGGCUCAGAUUGAACGCUGGCGGCAGGCCUAACACAUGCAAGUCGAGCGGUAGCACAGAGAGCUUGCUCUCGGGUGACGAGCGGCGGACGGGUGAGUAAUGUCUGGGAAACUGCCUGAUGGAGGGGGAUAACUACUGGAAACGGUAGCUAAUACCGCAUAACGUCGCAAGACCAAAGUGGGGGACCUUCGGGCCUCAUGCCAUCAGAUGUGCCCAGAUGGGAUUAGCUAGUAGGUGGGGUAAUGGCUCACCUAGGCGACGAUCCCUAGCUGGUCUGAGAGGAUGACCAGCCACACUGGAACUGAGACACGGUCCAGACUCCUACGGGAGGCAGCAGUGGGGAAUAUUGCACAAUGGGCGCAAGCCUGAUGCAGCCAUGCCGCGUGUAUGAAGAAGGCCUUCGGGUUGUAAAGUACUUUCAGCGAGGAGGAAGGCGUUAAGGUUAAUAACCUUAGCGAUUGACGUUACUCGCAGAAGAAGCACCGGCUAACUCCGUGCCAGCAGCCGCGGUAAUACGGAGGGUGCAAGCGUUAAUCGGAAUUACUGGGCGUAAAGCGCACGCAGGCGGUCUGUUAAGUCAGAUGUGAAAUCCCCGGGCUCAACCUGGGAACUGCAUUUGAAACUGGCAGGCUUGAGUCUUGUAGAGGGGGGUAGAAUUCCAGGUGUAGCGGUGAAAUGCGUAGAGAUCUGGAGGAAUACCGGUGGCGAAGGCGGCCCCCUGGACAAAGACUGACGCUCAGGUGCGAAAGCGUGGGGAGCAAACAGGAUUAGAUACCCUGGUAGUCCACGCUGUAAACGAUGUCGACUUGGAGGUUGUUCCCUUGAGGAGUGGCUUCCGGAGCUAACGCGUUAAGUCGACCGCCUGGGGAGUACGGCCGCAAGGUUAAAACUCAAAUGAAUUGACGGGGGCCCGCACAAGCGGUGGAGCAUGUGGUUUAAUUCGAUGCAACGCGAAGAACCUUACCUACUCUUGACAUCCAGAGAACUUAGCAGAGAUGCUUUGGUGCCUUCGGGAACUCUGAGACAGGUGCUGCAUGGCUGUCGUCAGCUCGUGUUGUGAAAUGUUGGGUUAAGUCCCGCAACGAGCGCAACCCUUAUCCUUUGUUGCCAGCGGUCCGGCCGGGAACUCAAAGGAGACUGCCAGUGAUAAACUGGAGGAAGGUGGGGAUGACGUCAAGUCAUCAUGGCCCUUACGAGUAGGGCUACACACGUGCUACAAUGGCAUAUACAAAGAGAAGCGACCUCGCGAGAGCAAGCGGACCUCAUAAAGUAUGUCGUAGUCCGGAUUGGAGUCUGCAACUCGACUCCAUGAAGUCGGAAUCGCUAGUAAUCGUAGAUCAGAAUGCUACGGUGAAUACGUUCCCGGGCCUUGUACACACCGCCCGUCACACCAUGGGAGUGGGUUGCAAAAGAAGUAGGUAGCUUAACCUUCGGGAGGGCGCUUACCACUUUGUGAUUCAUGACUGGGGUGAAGUCGUAACAAGGUAACCGUAGGGGAACCUGCGGUUGGAUCACCU